rnacentral:rRNA from 1 species
AACGAACGCUGGCGGCAGGCCUAACACAUGCAAGUCGAGCGGACCCUUCGGGGUUAGCGGCGGACGGGUGAGUAACGCGUGGGAACGUGCCCUUUGCUUCGGAAUAGCCCUGGGAAACUGGGAGUAAUACCGGAUACGCCCUUUUGGGGAAAGAUUUAUCGGCGAAGGAUCGGCCCGCGUUGGAUUAGGUAGUUGGUGAGGUAAUGGCCUACCAAGCCGACGAUCCAUAGCUGGUUUGAGAGGAUGAUCAGCCACACUGGGACUGAGACACGGCCCAGACUCCUACGGGAGGCAGCAGUGGGGAAUCUUAGACAAUGGGGGAAACCCUGAUCUAGCCAUGCCGCGUGAGCGAUGAAGGCCUUAGGGUUGUAAAGCUCUUUCACCGGGGAAGAUAAUGACGGUACCCGGAGAAGAAGCCCCGGCUAACUCCGUG